rnacentral:ncRNA from 1 species
ACCCACUGUCGUUGAAAAGCCAGGGGAUGACUUGUGGAUCGGAGUGAAAGGCUAAUCAAGCCCGGAGAUAGCUGGUUCUCCCCGAAAGCUAUUUAGGUAGCGCCUCGGACGAAUACCACAGGGGGUAGAGCACUGUUUCGGCUAGGGGGUCAUCCCGACUUACCAACCCGAUGCAAACUCCGAAUACCUGUGAGUACUAUCCGGGAGACACACGGUGGGUGCUAACGUCCAUCGUGAAGAGGGAAACAACCCAGACCGCCAGCUAAGGUCCCCAAAUACCAGUUAAGUGGGAAACGAUGUGGGAACUG